rnacentral:rRNA from 1 species
UACAGGGGGGGCAAGCGUUGUUCGGAAUUACUGGGCGUAAAGGGCGCGUAGGCGGCCUUCUAAGUCGAACGUGAAAUCCCCGGGCUCAACCCGGGAACUGCGUCCGAUACUGGAAGGCUUGAAUCCGGGAGAGGGAUGCGGAAUUCCAGGUGUAGCGGUGAAAUGCGUAGAUAUCUGGAGGAACACCGGUGGCGAAGGCGGCAUCCUGGACCGGCAUUGACGCUGAGGCGCGAAAGCCAGGGGAGCAAACGGG